UCCAUACUCACGUCCCGCUCAUCCCAAUCUCCCAUCAGUCCUCCACCGCUCCAGUGACUCCGCACCAGCCUUUCUCUGAAAUUCCUACCUCUGCGAUAUGUCACACUCGGCUGCUCCAAGCAUGUAGUGGAUCUCUCUACAUCCUCUCAUGAGAAAUCUCAACAUACA